rnacentral:rRNA from 1 species
GGUGAACGCUAGCUACAGGCUUAACACAUGCGAGUCGCGGGGCAGCAUGGGGGUUGCUUGCAAUCCCCGAUGGCGACCGGCGCACGGGUGAGUAACGCGUAUCCAACCUGCCCUUCACCACGGGAUAACCCGGCGAAAGUCGGACUAAUACCGUAUGUUGUCCAUUGACGGCCUCCGAAUAGGACGCAAGGGUUGCAGGAGAAGGAUGGGGUUGGGUCCGAUUGGCUGGACGGCGGGGUGACGGCCAACCGGGGGGACGAUCGGUCGGGGUGCGGAGAGGGAGGUCCCCCACACUGGAACCGGGACACGGUCCAGAGUCCGACGGGAGUCAGCAGUGAGGAAUAUUGGACAAUGGGCGUAAGCCUGAACCAGCCAAGUAGCGUGCAGGAUGUCGGCCCUAUGGGUUGUAAUCUGCUUUUAGGCGGAGAUAAAGUGGCCCACGUGUGGGUUUUUGCAGGUACCUCAUGAAUAAGGACCGGCGAAUUCCGU